GAUGAACGCUGGCGGCGUGCCUAAUACAUGCAAGUCGAGCGAACGGACGAGAAGCUUGCUUCUCUGAUGUUAGCGGCGGACGGGUGAGUAACACGUGGAUAACCUACCUAUAAGACUGGGAUAACUUCGGGAAACCGGAGCUAAUACCGGAUAAUAUUUUGAACCGCAUGGUUCAAAAGUGAAAGACGGUCUUGCUGUCACUUAUAGCUGGAUCCGCGCUGCAUUAGCUAGUUGGUAAGGUAACGGCUUACCAAGGCAAUGAUGCAUAGCCGACCUGAGAGGGUGAUCGGCCACACUGGAGCUGAGACACGGUCCAGACUCCUACGGGAGGCAGCAGUAGGGAAUCUUCCGCAAUGGGCGAAAGCCUGACGGAGCAACGCCGCGUGAGUGAUGAAGGUCUUCGGAUCGUAAAACUCUGUUAUUAGGGAAGAACAUAUGUGUAAGUAACUGUGCACAGCUUGACGGUACCUAAUCAGAAAGCCACGGCUAACUACGUG
rnacentral:rRNA from 1 species